AUACAUGCAGUCGACGAGGUGCUUUGCACCUAGUGGCGAACGGGUGAGUAACACGUAUCUAACCUACCUUUUAGUGGGGGAUAACAGUUGGAAACGACUGCUAAUACCGCAUACGACACCAUUAUGGCAUCAGAAGGUGUUAAAAGGCCCGUUUGGGUCGCUAGAAGAUGGGGAUGCGGCGUAUUAGCUAGUAGGUGGGGUAAUUGCCCACCUAGGCAAUGAUACGUAGCCGAACUGAGAGGUUGAUCGGCCACAUUGGGACUGAGAUACGGCCCAGACUCCUACGGGAGGCAGCAGUAGGGAAUUUUUCACAAUGGACGAAAGUCUGAUGAAGCAAUGCCGCGUGAGUGAUGACGGUCUUCGGAUUGUAAAGCUCUGUUGUAAGGGAAGAAUAGGUAAAAGAGGAAAUGCUUUUAUUUUGACGGUACCUUACCAGAAGCCACGGCUAACUAUGUGCCCAGCAGCCCGCGGUAAUACAUAGGUGGCAAGCGUUAUCCGGAUUUUAUUGGGCGUACAGGGUGCGUAAGCGGGUUCGAUAAGUUUGAAGGUUAAAUCCCCGGGGCUCACCCCCGGGUUCGCCUUGAAAACUGGUCUUACUAGAAUACAGGAAAAGGUAAAUGGAAAUUCCCUGUGUAGCGGUGAAAAUGCGUAAAUAUUUGGGAAGAAACACCAGUGGGCGUAGGCGGCCUACUGG
rnacentral:rRNA from 1 species